rnacentral:tRNA from 1 species
CAGGAAAUAGUUUAAAGUAAAAAUUUUAAUUUUGGAGAUUAAAGAUGGGAGAGAUCUUUUUCCUGA